rnacentral:rRNA from 1 species
GGUUAAGCGACUAAGCGUACACGGUGGAUGCCCUGGCAGUCAGAGGCGAUGAAGGACGUGCUAAUCUGCGAAAAGCGCCGGCGAGGUGAUAUGAACCUUUGACCCGGCGAUGUCCGAAUGGGGAAACCCAGUGCAAUUCGUUGCACUAUCGUUAACUGAAUACAUAGGUUAACGAGGCGAACCGGGGGAACUGAAACAUCUAAGUACCCCGAGGAAAAGAAAUCAACCGAGAUUCCCCCAGUAGCGGCGAGCGAACGGGGAGCAGCCCAGAGUCUGAAUCAGCUUGUGUGUUAGUGGAAGCGUCUGGAAAGUCGCACGGUACAGGGUGACAGUCCCGUACACGAAAGCACACAGGUUGUGAACUCGAAGAGUAGGGCGGGACACGUGGUAUCCUGUCUGAAUAUGGGGGGACCAUCCUCCAAGGCUAAAUACUCCUGACUGACCGAUAGUGAACCAGUACCGUGAGGGAAAGGCGAAAAGAACCCCGGCGAGGGGAGUGAAAAAGAACCUGAAACCGUGUACGUACAAGCAGUGGGAGCACCUUCGUGGUGUGACUGCGUACCUUUUGUAUAAUGGGUCAGCGACUUAUAUUCUGUAGCAAGGUUAACCGUAUAGGGGAGCCGAAGGGAAACCGAGUCUUAACUGGGCGUUAAGUUGCAGGGUAUAGACCCG